rnacentral:ncRNA from 2 species
UUUAAUAUAAUAGAUAAACCUUGUAUAAAUUCAAGAAUAUGGCUUGAACGUUUCUACCAGCUACCGAUAAUAGCUUGUCUACAAGGGAUGAGAAAUGAUUG